rnacentral:rRNA from 1 species
GAUGAACGCUAGCUACAGGCCUAACACAUGCAAGUCGAGGGACCGGCGCACGGGUGCGUAACACGUACCCAUCCUUCCCUUUACCCGGGGAUAGCCUUUCGAAAGAAAGAUUAAUACCCGAUCUUAAGGAUGGGGAUGCGUUCCAUUAGGUUGUUGGUGAGGUAACGGUCCACCAAGCCUUCGAUGGCUAGGGGUUCUGAGAGGAAGGUCCACCACAAUGGAGCUGAGGCACGGUCCAAAAUCCGAGGGGAGGCAGCAGUGAGGAAUAUUGGGCAAGGAACGGUAGCCUGAACCAGCCAAGUAGCGUGAAGGGUGAAGGCGUAUGAGUCGUAAGCUUCUUGUAUAUAAGAAUAGGUAUUAUAUGAAUAAGGAUCGGCUAACUCCGUGCCAGCAGCCGCGGUAAUAC